UGGUCCUUCACAUCUGCUAAUGGUCCAUGGCCAAUUAAUUGCCCUAUGGGAUAUGGCUAUGUGGGACAUAGUUUAUGUCAAAAAGAAGUAGAAGAAGAGUCACCUUGGUGCCGUCCAACGAUGAGCUACGAUUUUCUUCGAUUGAACUAUGAGUGGAACUACAAGCAUGAAGGUAACCAUGAGUGCCACGUCGGAAUGUACAUUAGACAGGUCUCCGGAAUUAUCGAAUGCAGAAAAUAGUCCAUUCAACACAGACGAUAUUCAAGUGAGCGAAGCGCGAUCACUACUGUACGCCGUAGGGGGAUUGCUCUGCCUUGCUGUGGUCGUUGCUUCUGUCCUGCUGCUCAUUAGGCAUCUACAGAAAGGAGAAACCACACGAUCCGCAAACACAACAUUGGAUUACCAGGCUCUACCCCCGAACAAUGGUACCCAACUGAACCAUUCAUUGGAGUCAAGUAUUGUGUUAUACAACGUCUCGUCGAGUCGACAUACAGCGAUUGUAGAAAUACUCUCGGACCCGCGUAACGAUUUCGACGCCAUCAAGAGCGCAUAAUAGAGAAUAUAGAGCAUAAUUAAGAACCCUCCAUUGGAGACAUAAAACAUUUUCAGA